rnacentral:rRNA from 1 species
UACGGGGGGAGCAAGCGUUGUUCGGAUUUACUGGGCGUAAAGGGCGCGUAGGCGGCCACCGCAAGUCAAUUGUGAAAUCUCCGGGCUUAACUCGGAAAGGUCAACUGAUACUGCGGGGCUAGAGUGCGGAAGGGGCAACUGGAAUUCUCGGUGUAGCGGUGAAAUGCGUAGAUAUCGAGAGGAACACCUGCGGCGAAGGCGGGUUGCUGGGCCGACACUGACGCUGAUGCGCGAAAGCCAGGGGAGCGAACGGGAUAGA